GUUGUCGGGUAACAGACCCCUUGGGAGGCCGUACUUGGGGAGGAGGUCAUGGACGUCUGUGAUUGAUUGGAGCGAGGUGGAUGGACGGUUGGGGUUGGGUUUGAGGUCUCUGAGGGAUUGAGAUAAUUGGGUUUCUGAGAAGAGGGUUAGGAGUAGAAGGUAGAGAGAGAUUUGGGUGAUGGAUGAGGCCAUUGAUGAUGAGCUAUAGGAGAAGAAGAGUGGUGGGGAAUUGACUUUGGGAAGAACAGGGGAACAGAAGCGAAGUAAGGGUAAAGAUGGGAAGAAAA